rnacentral:rRNA from 1 species
UACGUAGGCAGCAAGCGUUGUUCGGAAUUACUGGGCGUAAAGAGUGUGUAGGCGGUGUUCUAAGUCUGGUGUGAAAUCUCCCGGCUCAACUGGGAGGGUGCGCCGGAAACUAGAAUGCUAGAGGGUGGGAGAGGAAAGCGGAAUUCCUGGUGUAGCGGUGAAAUGCGUAGAUAUCAGGAGGAACACCUGCGGUGUAGACAGCUUUCUGGACCACUUCUGACGCUGAGACACGAAAGCGUGGGUAGCAAACAGG